UACGUAGGGGGCGAGCGUUGUCCGGAAUGAUUGGGCGUAAAGGGCGCGUAGGCGGUUUUGUAAGUCUGAAGUGAAAGUCCUGCUUUUAAGGUGGGAAUUGCUUUGGAUACUGCAGGACUUGAGUGCAGGAGAGGUAAGUGGAAUUCCCAGUGUAGCGGUGAAAUGCGUAGAGAUUGGGAGGAACACCAGUGGCGAAGGCGACUUACUGGACUGUAACUGACGCUGAGGCGCGAAAGUGUGGGGAGCAAAC
rnacentral:rRNA from 1 species